UCUGAGAGGAAUGGAGUUUCCUUGAUGAGCCUGAGAGCUGUGCCCCGUGAUGCAGAGAACUUUGCCUAUAUAACCUCGCCAGGUUGUUGGUGUGGAGCAAAGGGAAAGCAGACACCCUCAGUGAAGUGUUUCAGUAGAAAGUGUCACAGCUAGGUCCAUUCAUCCAGAAGGCUCAUCCCUGUGAGAUGUGUGUUCUGGUCUUAAGGGACAUUUUGUAUCUGGCUGAGCAACAAGGAACGCUAUCUGGGCAGAAAUAGUACACUUGUGAGGCAUGUGGGAAACAAUUCUGGUUUAGUGCAAACAUGCACCAGCACCAGAAGGAACACAAUGGAAUAGAGACGUGGACAAUGCUUUCUCUGUGAAAGGCUGCAGAUUUUAAGUGUCAGGAAGGCCUUUCGCCUGUGGGAAAGUUGGGAAGGAUUUUCCUGGCAACUGUACCUUCUCCAACAUAGGCCACUCACAACUGGAUUGAAGCCACACAUCAGCACCAAAUGUGGGGAGGCCUUUCACAGCAGAAAAAGUCAUUACAAGUGCAGUGAACCAGGAAAGCUUUCAGGUACAAAUACAAACUUGUUCAACAUCAGGGAAUUCACAAUGGAGAAAAGGCCUUAGGAGUGUGGCAAAUGUGGGAAAUUAUUUAGCCAAAACUCCAAUCUCAUUUGUCACUGGAUAAUUCACGCUGGAGAAAGACUUAUGAGUGUGGUGAAUGUGGAGAAUUUCUUUAGCCAAAGCUCUGUCUUCAUUGAACACUAGAGAAUUCACACUAGAGCUAGGCCUCAUGUGUAUGGUGAAUAUAGGAUGUCCUUUAGCCAGAGCUCCAUCCUUAGUUAAUCACAGAGCGUUCACACUGGAGCAAAGCCCUGUGAAUUUGGUAAAUAUGGGAAAUCCCUUCAACAGAAAGCCCUGGACUCAAUCAACACUGGAGAGUGCAUGCUGGAGAAAGGCUUCCAUAUUCACUAUAACAACUCAGGAGGAAAGCCUCUGUGAAUGUAAAGGAGGCAUCGAACUCCAUACAUCUGAACAUCCACAGUGGAGAGGUUCCCCACAAAUUCCAGGUAAGUGGGAAG
rnacentral:lncRNA from 1 species